rnacentral:misc_RNA from 1 species
UACUCUCACACUCCCGAUCUUGAGUUGGGAGCGGUGGACUUGGGUUUGCUGCUUUACUGUAGCUCACCUCAAAUGUGUUAGUGCAGCUCUUGGUUGGACAUAGUACGGCGUGAUAAGUAUCUUCGCCGGUGCCUCGCAAAGAGGGUGGCCGAUCGGGAUGUUGUGCUCCAAACUGUCUUCGGACAAUCUCUGACA